rnacentral:rRNA from 1 species
GACGAACGCUGGCGGCGUGCUUAACACAUGCAAGUCGAACGGGAUUUCGUAGGCAGAAGCCUCGGCUAAAGAUUACUAAUGAGAGUGGCGAACGGGUGAGUAACGCGUGAGCAACCUGCCUAUGACAGUGGGAUAGCCUCGUGAAACCGGGAUUAAUACCGCAUAAAAUCGUAGAAACACAUGUUUUAACGGUCAAAGAUUUAUCGGUCAUAGAUGGGCUCGCGUCUGAUUAGCUAGUUGGUGAGAUAACAGCCCACCAAGGCGACGAUCAGUAGCCGGUCUGAGAGGAUGAACGGCCACAUUGGAACUGAGACACGGUCCAAACUCCUACGGGAGGCAGCAGUGGGGAAUAUUGCACAAUGGGGGAAACCCUGAUGCAGCGACGCCGCGUGAACGAAGAAGGUAUUCGUAUCGUAAAGUUCUGUCCUAUGGGAAGAUAAUGACAGUACCAUAGAAGAAAGCUCCGGCUAAAUACGUG